rnacentral:rRNA from 1 species
CCUACGGGAGGCAGCAGUGAGGCAUAUUGGUCAAUGGACGAGAGUCUGAACCAGCCAAGUAGCGUGAAGGAUGACUGCCCUAUGGGUUGUAAACUUCUUUUAUAUGGGAAUAAAACGUUCCACGUGUGGGAUUUUGUAUGUACCAUAUGAAUAAGGAUCGGCUAACUCCGUGCCAGCAGCCGCGGUAAUACGGAGGAUCCGAGCGUUAUCCGGAUUUAUUGGGUUUAAAGGGAGCGUAGGUGGAUUGUUAAGUCAGUUGUGAAAGUUUGCGGAUCAACCGUAAAAUUGCAGUUGAAACUGGCAGUCUUGAGUACAGUAGAGGUGGGCGGAAUUCGUGGUGUAGCGGUGAAAUGCUUAGAUAUCACGAAGAACUCCGAUUGCGAAGGCAGUUCACUGGACUGUAACUGACACUGAGGCUCGAAAGUGUGGGUAUCAAACAGGAUUAGAUACCCUUGUAGUC